rnacentral:lncRNA from 1 species
GUUGAACUGUAGUGAUUUCCCUGAAGAAUCAGAUUAUACUCUAGGCAUUUUGUGUGCACCUGAGAGCAAUGUGGAUCAGUCUUACACAUAACACAAACACAAUAAGGCUAAAGGCUAUGCCAAUUCCAAGGGUUCCUUUGGUUUGACCAUCAGCAGCAACCGAUUCAGUUGUUUACUCUUUUCUCCCUGAUACAGUGUCUUCCCUUUACCUUAAAGAGAACGACCUUGCUAGUUCCUCUUCUUAGUCUCUUUUGAUGGUUCCUUUGUCUUAGUUUGUUCUCCACUUUCUCUCUCUUGAUGAUCUUGUCCAGUAUUAUGGGCUUUAAAUCCAUCUUCAGCCCCGACUUGUCUUUCAACUGCAACCUUAUAUAUACAAAUGCCUACUUGAUAUCUCCACUUAGAGGUUCAACAAGCAUCUGAAACUCAACAUGUCUAGAACUGAAUCUUCCUGAUCUUCCCCCAUCAUCCUUGCCCCUGUUUACCUACAGUCUUCCAAUCUGUGGUAGUUUUUAAAAAACGACUACAAAUUCUUUGAUAUUCCUCUCAUGAAAAAGUAUGGUCUAGGUUCCCUCCCCUUUAAUCUGGCUGGGCUUGGUGAUGCUUUGACCAACAGAAUACAUACAGUAGAAGUGAAACUCUAUGACUUCUGAGAUGAGGUCAUAAAAGGCUACGGAACUUCUGCUUGGUUCUCUUGGAUCACCUCCUCUUGGCAUGUUAGCUCUUGGGAUGCUCAGUCUGCAGAGCUCUCCUUGGGAAUUUGGCCUCCAUGUCGUAAGAAGUUCUAACCACCUGGAGAGACCAGCUUUGCACAGAUUAAAAACCUUUUUCUCUCAUCUAAACCACCUACAAAUCCUGCUGAUUCCAUCUAUCUUCAAAAUAUAUUCAGAAUUUGACCAUAGCUCACCAUCUCUACUGCUGACUGGAUCUGCAUCUCUUGAUUGGAUUUCUGCAACAGCCUUUAACAGGUCUCUCUGCUCCUGCCUUUAUUCCUGUUUCCUCUCCCGAUUAGUCUAUUCCCAACAGAACUGCCAGAAGGAGUCUUUAAAAUGUAAGUCAGAUUAUGUCACCGCUCUGUUAAACACCUUCCAGUAGCUUCCUCCUAAUUCAGAGUACAACCCAGAGUCCUUAAAGUGGCC